UGCCAGCCGCCGCGGUAAUACGUAGGUGGCAAGCGUUAUUCGGAUUUAUUGGGCGUAAAGGGUUCGUAGGGGGAUUGUUAAGUCUGAUGUGAAAGCCCGCGGCUCAACCGCGGAACUGCAUUGGAAACUGGUAAUCUAGAGCAUAGGAGAGGUGAGUGGAAUUCCUGGUGUAGCGGUGGAAUGCGUAGAUAUCAGGAGGAACACCGGAGGCGAAGGCAGCUCACUGGACUAUUGCUGACCCUGAGGGACGAAAGCUAGGGUAGCAAACGGGAUUAGAUA
rnacentral:rRNA from 1 species